rnacentral:rRNA from 1 species
UACGUAGGUGGCAAGCGAUACUCGGAAUCACUAGGCGUAAAGCGCAGGUAGGCGGUUUGGUAAGUCUUUUGUGAAAGCUCCUGGCUCAACUGGGAGAGGUCAAGGGAAACUACCGGACUAGAGUGUGGUAGGGAAUACUGGAAUUCCUGGUGUAGCGGUGAAAUGCGUAGAUAUCAGGAGGAAUACCUAUGGCGAAAGCAGGUAUCUGGGCCAUCACUAACGCUGAGCUGCGAAAGCUAGGGGAGCAAACAGG